rnacentral:misc_RNA from 1 species
CACCUGAAUACCAAACAAGAAGAUUCCGAAAUUCACAAUCAAGUAAAACUUUUCUGUAAUUAGUCCAUGUAAUAGAUGCAUGAAAAGACCCAUUGCACACUAUUUUUCUACUUAUAAUGCAUUAAACUUAGGCAACAACGUACAGAGUAGAUACAGGACUUCUAUCCAGACGGAAAUUCAGAAUACGAAUAUAGCAGUUUCAUCGACAUAAUAAUUUCCUGUCCCUCGUUUUACUCUGAGACCAAACAAGAAACUUU